UGUUUUUCACAGGUCCGUAGAGAUUGCCAUAUCAUGCAGGGAGAUGAGCAGUCUUCACCAUGUAUCAUUUCUGAAAGCGUCAGCAUUGUGUCCUGUCUUGGGAGACACAGCAACAACACCUAUCAUCAGGAGCAAUGGAGUUGCCAUCCCUUCAAAUUUCUUCACCACAAGCUGCAGCUCUGCAGAGCAGUGUCUGAGAACCAGGGCCAGCCUUGUAUGCAUAUGCUGAAUCCCACCCAGGAUGCAUGGGGAAAUAGGGGAAGAAGGUGGCCUUUUGUCCCAGUUGGAGAGCUGGCACAAAGUUCACCUGUGCUCAGGAAGGCAAGGUGACAACUGCAGGGUUGCUGCUCUCAGCUGGAUAUCAGGGAGGCCCAACCUGUUCUUUCUGAGGCUGGCUUUGUUGUUCUUUAACCUCUGCCACAAGGCCAAACCUAGAAGAAAUGUUGUGAAGAGGAGAGGAGGCUGGAAGGAGGAAUUAUUCAGAAUGCAGGGAAAAAGUGAGACAGGCAGAUAUCAGCUGAGUCUUGUCAAGUUCUAGAGUUCAUGGAAUUGCUGUUAGCUGGAAGGUCACCUCUGGGGGCAAAAAAAUGUCUGUCUUGGGUGUGUGAAAUGACAGGCUUGUCCAACAUAAGCCUGAGCAGCUGCAAAGAUCAGCCUGAAGGCCUGGAGGAGAUGGCCUGCCAUAUGGGAUUCCCAAAGCUCAUCCUGUACCUAUUCACUGCAGCAGCAACAAUGCACAAAAUGCUGAUGGGAAGAGGAAGUCCAAGGAACAAGAAGAAGCGAGGCACAAAGCAGCAGGAGUUACGAUUUUCAUGGGCUCCUGCAUCAGUAACAAGCUCCAAUCUUGUGUCCCACUCCCAGCCUCAGAGGUGCAAGGGGCACUAGCAACCACUUCAGUUUGGGAAGUGGUAGUGGAGCUGGGGUUGUGGUGCUUUUCCUCCAUUUCUAAAGUCUCCAGGAUCGUGGAAAAGGUGAGGAGCAUGCAGGGUGGCAUGGAAUCUCGUUUAGUUGUUAAAUUGUAAAGCUUCACCCCCACCAAGUCCCAAAAGCCCGCUGUAAAGAUGUUAGUGUCUGCGCCGUUUGGCAUGCCACUAGGGAAAUU
rnacentral:lncRNA from 1 species